ACAUAUGUUUUUGCUGAAGCCUUAAGAUUUUUGAUUUACCCGGAAAAAGUUUCCAUAAGAGACUUCUCUGAUGUUGUUCUUUUUCUCCGUAUUGAAAGAUCAGAAUAAUGGAGCCUUGUGAAGGCUUUUUACUUCUUGUAGCACUGAAAAAACUUGGAGGUUUCUGCAUCUGUGGAUUUGAUCCCACUCUAUUUGUUCUUAUAGUUUCACCAUUCGAGUGUGGGAACUCGAUACAGCAACUAAAACAAUCCAUCCAUCUGAAUGCUACGCGGGGCAACUGAGAGGAAUCACCGUGUGUGUUCAGAUGACAGACGAUGAUGGUGAUUUUCAUCUUGGCACGACGAGUGGAGAUGUCCUGAAAGUGAACACAAGCAGCAAGGUGCUGACUGCCUGUGGGCCCCAGAAGAAGAAGUUGAGCAUGGUGAGUAGCAGCUCUGUGACUCCAAUUCUGUCCUUGUCCUGCUCUUUGUCAGUGACUGAAGGUAGAGCAACCUGCGGGAGAACCAUCACAAAGCGGAUUCUCAGACUAACGCUUUUCCUGCGCUGUCAGGAACGACCGCUGAACGACCACCAGAGGACACUGCGCAUGCUUAGAGUAGUUCCAAGGUGUUGCAACUGAUAUUGUGAAAUAAUUGUGUAACCUAAUGAAUAUGCAAUAUACACGUUGUAACUUCAAUGAAUAUGUAUGUAACCGAAUUGUAUAAAAUGGUGAAGUUUGAAUCAGUGGUCGGAACCAGCUUUGGGUGCGAGCCCCUGGUUUCCCAGCGCUGAAAUAAAGCACCGCAUAUAACUAC